GGGGGGGGGGUUAGGAAUGAAAACCCACGAUACAUCACAGUGUUGAAUAAAAGACAAAAAGGCCGUCAAUAUCCACUCGUAAUGCCAACGGGGGGGGCGGAGGUUUGACUUUGGCUUUCCUUCCCUGAUUUCCCCCUUGGGACGACUGAUCUCAUCUAAUCUAAUCCAAGAAGGAAGAGGACGGGAGAGGACAGGAGAAUGGUGGAAGAAGACAGAGGACGAGGAGGCGAGUGGAGCCCAUUAGCAUUUGUAUUACCUCAUUCUCUUGCCAGGCGAAUCUCGCUCGCGCCGGUUAAAGUCUGCACACUAUGGUGGAUUCACAGCGUUAUUAUUACCAAGGAUGGGGAACCGUUUCUACCCCUAUUGGAAAGUGAUACCUGGUAUCUGGCACAAACACACACACAGACAGACACGAAGUGCAAGGGGAAAAGUCCUGUGGAAAAUAGCAGGUUCCAUUUAAGCCUGGUUGAGUUCAUAAAGCUAUUAAACUUCUGAUGACUUAUUUCAGACACACAGAUUCGGGCACACGCCUCAAACGGCAUAGAAAUGCACACGCGCACGCAUACUCCAAGGUUUUAGCAUUGAAACCUGAAUGAAGUACUGAUCUGCUUUUAGCCCCGAGAAACGCGCUGCAGAAAGUAUUUAGCUCCCUCACACAAUAAGACCUCAUUACACACAGGACCACAGGCCGUGUGUGUGUCUGUGUUCCACCAUCACACUGCUUUAAUUAGAGGCAGCUCUCUAUGCGCUUUAGGUGGUUGCAAGACACAGAGCGAGGCAGUAAUGCACACACACACACACACACACACACACACACUACAGCGUGCACACUGUCGAUGAUACAUGUAAUGUAGUUUGACUGAUACGGAUGCACAUAGGAAUAAAUGCUCCCUAUGCAAAGAACUGUACUUUGUAAUGUGUGUGUGUGUGUUGUACGCAGAGGGUCUCAGUGCCCUGUAGUUGUGUGUAGAGCUGUUUUAUUCUGUGAUGCUGCAGCACAGCUGGGAAGCCUGUGUGAAGUAUAAGCAUCCGUCCUUUCCGGGGGGGGGCAAUGCACCGCAUGAUGGAAACCUCUCAGAAUAAUUGAUACCGUAAACGAUUACACUCUGCGGACAUUAAGUGAGGCUUGCUUCUUCCCUCCCCGACGCUCCUUUCGCAUCUCGUAUCACGUCUCCGUCUCGCUCGCCACGUCAGCCGGCGUUCGGUCGGCGCGUUGCUUCCCCUCCGCUGCGUCGUGAACAUCGGGAGGAUUCAACAGUUUGAAAUUUGUUCUUUGUUGCUUGAAAAAGAGCUGAUGUCGCGUCUCAGACAAUUUAUAUUUAUCUGGAGCACACCUUCAACAAACUAUAAUUUAUAUGUAAAUAUCCUUCCUAACAUACUUGAAUUUAUCGUCGACAUCAACAGAAAUAAAUCUAAUGUUGAAGAAGAAGUCAUUUCAAAUGGUGUCACACCUUUUAUUGACUGUCAUAUUAGCCUAGCAGUCAUUAUAGGAAUCCCAAAGGUCAUUUUACGCGCUUCAGAUUGUAAAUAGUGAACGUAUCAGUCCUGAGGCAACAGCAGUCAUCAUCUCUGCAUGGCAAUAAGGUUCACUGUGCAUCCCUGCAGUUAUCGCCUCAUCAAUACUUAAUUCCACAUAGGAACCCUCAAAAGGCACGUCUGACAUGGCGUCAUGCUGCUCCGGCUUCAUCUGCUGACCCCGAACAUGUUCAGCACGUCUCAUUAGACUGAUACAUACGCAUGCGUAAUUGCAUGUUUUAUUAAGUUAUUUACAAUGUGAUUUACAAUGUACAAAGUUUGUAUAAGGACACAUCAUAUAUGCGUACUUCAACUUCAAGACAGUCAUCAUCAUUAAAAGGAUCAUUUAUAUCGAAAUACGACCUAGUUUUCAGUCAGAUCGAGUUCAAAGGAUAACGUGUCUUCUGUCUUCCAUUUCCCUGCAUCCACAUGACCGCAGCUUAAUUAGACCAUUUUAAUUGUUUAUGGUUAAAUAAUAUUCUGAUGAAUCUCCUUCAUGCAUUCAUCCUUUUGCAACCGAAUCACAGCUGUUUGAAUUAGCAGAGCUGCUUUGACGGUCCAAGGACGCACCACGACAACAUGUCAGCGUUUAUCUUCAGUCUCUGCGAUGCAGCAGCGAGUUGUGCACGAGGCCUUGGCGGCAGCUAUGACCCCUCUACGUGAAGUCUAGGCCUUUAACGUUGUUUGCUUUUUCUCACAAACGAGUAAAUGCGUUUCGUGGAGCCGUCGUCGGCUCAAGGAUCCUUGGUGCCAUGCGAGUGUGCACGGGCAACGUGCUGGAGCGCCGCCCAAAGUUCAAAUUCUAUAAGGAGCCAUUCAUGCCCGUUAUACCAUCUCAAGAGAGUUGUUCUGCGCACUGUGGCUGAAGGUCUCACAUUGAGCGCGUUCAGUGUGUGAACAAAACACCCUCUCGAUUUGCAUUCAAAGGCAAUGUCAUACACGCAUAAUGCCUUCAACACUCAAUUCUUCCUCGGUCCUCCUGCAGUAGCUCCACUAGGCCUCUAUCCUGAAUAGUGACACCAUUUGAGUCAACUGGAAUGGUCGAAUAAAGUGUUGAAGAAAAGGGAAUAAACUUUUGGGUUUCCUCUGUUGUUAUUAUUAUUAUUAAGAAGUCUCUCUCCCUCAUUCUCAUAUCGACCACAUUACCUGUAAAGGUCCUCCUCUUCUGUUCUGUCCACAUCAUUAUCUGAUCUAUGCGAGCAAUAAGUGAUUCAUGACUCCACGAGGAAGACGUUUUCUGCAGGACAAUGCAAACCCCCUGUUAAAGAAUCAACAGCUGGGGGGGGGCGUCUUAUGUGCACCGACUUUGUGCAUCCCAUCCCCUUCACUCUCGUGUGGAACUCUCUGUGUGGAGAAAUGGACGGAGUUCACCGUCAAACUUCUCCUCUUCCGUCCCUCCCACCUCAUCAAGUGGCCAUUACGCAGCGAAGGCUCAGGAUGGUGUUUUUUGGGCGUAAUCGUGCAGAUAUCGAGCGCGUUGGGAGGCUAACGCUUUUCUUGCGUUCCUCCCACAUCAUCAGUUCGUCAUCAUGAAGGCCGAGUCAUUAGUGCGCCGACGGAUCGUUAAUGCAGAGACGGAUCAUUAGGGGGCACCGGCUCUUUGUCCCUAUUGAACAGGGAAGUAUUAUUUUCACACCUGAGUGUCAUUCAUCUUCGUGGCGGUGAACGGCACAAUGGAGCUAAAAAAAAAAAAAAAAGGCCGUUGUCUCUUAUCUCGGUGUGAUACAGCGGGGGGUUGAAGCCUUGGUGGUGGUCACAGAUGAUUAUUUUCAGGAGGGCUUAGCCUACAUGGUCUCAACCACAUGUGGCUGCUCAUUGCGUCUUUUAGACUUUCGACGAUUCACGCUGCUGUUCUGUUGGAUUUUAUUGGAUUUUAUUGCAAUUACACAAUUUACUUUGCAGAACUUAACAGUUCUCAGCAUUAUGCCCCCCCCCCCACCCCCCACAGCACAAGCCACACCAUUAAAUGAGUUUGUCUUGGAUCAUGUGCUAGCUAAUGAUCCCCUUUGUUACCUCCUGUUUAGUGCAACGUGAUUGUAGGGAGGUGAGGGAGUCACACAGUUUUGAAAUCAGACUAUAAGUUGUCCUGCAUAUUGCGGACUGUUAUAUCUCUAAGAGCUAUGGACAGACCCCCCACUGGGCUUGAACUUUUCCCAGCCAGCUGUCUUUUUUUAUAAUAUCCAAUGGAAUCAAUAGGGUUGCCAUGCAGUCACUCCCUUCCUCAUCAUUUGUUUUUUUCAUCCAUUUUGAACUCACCAAACUGUUUUUCUGUAAAAUGCAUCCGUGCACGACUGUCCUAAAUCUACUAUUUGAAGGUAUUGGAAGCAUUUUUCUCUUCUCUUAUUCUCGGAACUGUGACAAACACAGAAGUUGCUCCUUUUACCUUCCGUUUCAAAAACGUAAAAUAAAAUAAACCGGACUGGUUCCUUCACUGUGUAGCCUGGUAAAUAGCCCCCCCCGACCCCCCCCGAAAGGGUUGCCUGGGGCUGCAAGCCAUUCACACGGCGGAAGAGUUUGAAAAAGCCUGUUUGUGACUCAUUGAAAUCACAGCUCCAUCCUGCACGGAGCCGUAGCGUCGACUCUCAGGGGGGCGGAAACAAUAAAAAGGGCACCAGGUGUGUGCCCUGGGGCACCAGUGGGCCCGAGAGCUCCCCAUCAUGUAGGGCAGCCUUAAUGUCACUACAUCAUUUCUCCAUCUGAGGGCCACCGCAUGGGCCGCCUCAUCAUAUUUCCUCGACUGGAAGAGCAUCUCAUCCCAGUUCCCCCACUGGUUAAUGCACUCUAAAGGGCAACAUCCCGUUGUCCACCUUGGAAGGGCCCCCCCCCCCCAUGAAAUGGCCUUCAUGAUGUUUUCUCCACCAGAAAGGACCUUUAGAGGGAGUUCAUCACACCUUGUGUUCUAGCAGAGUAUAUUGGAGGGCACUCUGGCAAUAGUAUCUACUAGGGUCACCCGAGCAUCAACUUGUACUGCCCCCCCCCCCAUCCGUGUUUUACAAUGAUUUAAAGCAGUGGACUUCCAAAGUGCCCCCUGUUGGCUCGGUGGUCCUCUGCUGGUGAAUGUAUCGGUCCAGCAUGGGAUGUGUGUACGGCCCCACACACACACACACACACACACACACACACACACACCCUGGUCCUUCAUCCAGGCGUGGAGUUGAGUAAUGAGGGGUUUUAGUGGAGGGGACAGCUCACCUUCUUACCAACCCUUCUCAAGGAGACUUUUGAUCAUUGUUGUCAGCCACAGCUAAGCGCGUUAAAUGGAGGCCGCACCAUCCGGGGCUGCGUGCGUGUAACGUAAGAUGGAGGGAAAUGUGUGCACGUGUGAUCGGGAAGUAAACGGAGCGUAAGUCCACGUCUCUCUCUCUCUCUGUGUGUGUGUGAGAAACAGAUGUGUGCCUCUGGACGUCUACACUGGUGUGUGAGAGUGGUCAUCCCAAACAUCUGUCUCCCGUUACCAUUCGGACGGACCCACUGAUAGACGUAUAAUGGACUUUCCUCCCCUCGUUUGUGUGUGUGUGUGUGUGCACACGUGUGUGUGAAGGGGGCAUUUAGCAGCCAAUCAAUCACCAGCUGUCACACGGGUACGUGUGGGGGAACAGUGUCAGCAAAGGUGACACACACACACACACACGUAGACAAAUGCAGAGGUUAUUUAGGCAUUCAGGUAUCUCGGGGCUUCAUCGGUGUAAUCUUGAGUUUACUCAAGUUCACUCCCGGCGGCGCAACAACCAUCACAUGGCCGUGACACGUUGUCGGAGUACGUGCCAGCAGGUCAGUCUCAUCCGUCUUCUUUAGUGAACACAAAUCGCUCACAAUCAAUCGACAGGUACGGCGGCGAAAAGAAUGAUGGAACUACUUAAAUACGAGCUCAGAUGUCUCAACGCGGCCUCUCUCUGGAUGAUCAGUCUCCAUGUUUCUUCGCAGACGCAAUUAACGGGUUUCUGCCACCGUAUUUCAUUGGAUAAACUUGUUGAAUGUGCUGCAUUACUAAAAUGAAAGGACGCAUCAAGUGAUAAAGUAUUCAGAUCCCGUUCUCUCUGCGUCAAUAAGCCAACGCUUUGUAUGUCAUAACAAAGUCAUCUUUGGAACCAGCACACUGUUGUAUUUCCGGCUCCUUUAUCGCCUGUUGGCGGCGGAGAAGAACUCAUGAACGGACUUUCAGCCGGUCGCAUACUGACUCGUGACCUUGGUACCAAACAAAGUAAAAACCAAGUGGUUUGGCAAAAAUAUCCCUUUACUGUCCGGAAAGAAUUCUGCCCUCUGAGUCAACGUCCCGCCACAAUAAAAGCCUCUGCCGGACGCGCUGUUUGUUUGCUCUUAGUUCCGAAGCAGCCAGCGAGGGCACACAAGUGCGAACGCCUGCGGAAUUAUGCCUGUUAUCUGUGUACGCGUGUGCACGUGGGAUGAUGCGUGCAUGUGGGAUAACCCGCUUCAAACCUCUCUGUGUAAACAGACGGCCACUUUGACCUGAAGAGUUGUUUACUCACAGAAUUAAAGAGAUUAAAACUGACUCAGUGAAACCCGCGAACUGCACGAUAAGUGUGGAUUAAAAUGCUAAAAUUCACAAAGAGACACGCUUGAGUGAAGCCGCGCAUGCCGACAGAGGGAUGUGAUCCUUUUCACGAAGCAAAAAAGGAGGAGAGUACAGACAAAAGCGCUUUGUUAAAUAUGACAGAAUGAUAAAUAAGGCCAUCUUUUCACAAGGAGACAGAACCAAGUUUAUAUCUCCAGAAAACUGUAUGAAGGCAUCACGUUUUUGUAAUGUACAAAAAAAACAGAUGUUCCUCUCCAGACAUUCACAUGAAUCACUGAUGGAUUAUGUGGCACAACGCUGGUGAACGUGUCUACGUGUGUGCAGAUUGGAUGAAACGUCUUCAUCUCAUUACGCAGUUAGAACUCCAGAUACCAAAGUUAUGUCAGAAAGCUCCGAAAGGUGACUGCUUCCUAUUAUCUGCUCCUCAGCCACACAACACACGUUACAAAUCAUUAAACGAAUAAGAAGAAGAAAGCAAUUAAAUGGGCCCUACAUGGUGUCAGGGAACAAGCAUUUAAAGGUCAAAGGUUACCGACCUCCAAUUCUGCACAGCAAUUUUCUAAAGUUAAACACAAAUGGUUUGAAGGAACAGAUAAUAUCUCGCAAACUUCGUAACCCACUGAAAAGAAUGAGGCAGAGAUGAAAAAAAUAGGCGAGUCUUUACCCCAAAAGAGGGCGAGGACGCCCUUUGACUGAGUCAACUGGGUCCCACCGGACACACGAGCUCACUGAUGAGCCGCUGUCAAAUGUGAGCAAAACAACCCAUAAUAUAUUUGUUGUGACAAGGGACGGGACAAAUGCUAAUUUGCAGACACCGCGGAGGAUUGAGUCUGUGAACAAGCGCGAGAUUGACUGCGCGGUUAGCUGAGAGAAGUCACUGCAGGAACGAUUCAAAGGAACAAACAAAUGGGAACAAAACAGGAAGGGAAGCGCGCGGCGGUGACAGAGGUGUGUGUGUGUGUGUGUGUGUGUGUGUGUGUCUGUGUGUGUGAGAGGUCAGGUCCGGGUGAGGAGUGCAUCAAUAAGAUUUCAUGCACACUUCACAGUACACACUCAUUUCCUGUUUCCUAACCCCCGACCAGCUGUUGCAGAUGUGCAGCACGGUAAAAUGUCACAUUCUCCUGUGGACAUUUGUUUCUCAUGAUGCAAAUAUCGGAGCGUGCACACACAGACACACACUCACUGCGGCUGUUUCACACUCAAAAUAGCCUUUUCAUUAUUCAGGGGUUGAGUCCGGGGGGGUUUAAUAGGAAGCCGUUGAAGUGUGUCCAUGAACGUGUGCACAUGUGGGUCCCCCCCCCCAAGGACAUGCGGCUCAGAUGUGAGCUCCUUUCUUUCUUCUUAGUGGCUCCACACAUCCACGCUGUCGUUGUGGCUUUUAAACACGUGUAUAUUUAUUUACACGUGUAUAAAAGUGGUGGUUGAGCCUUUAACGCGCCGUGUGUUUUCAUGGGUUAGGCAUUCAAAAUAAUCCCAAAUAAGUCGUGUUUUUUUUAAAGCAAAUGGAUUCUCACAGAAGGUGUGUUUUAUCUCCUGUUGGAGCCUUUGUUUGUGGGGGGGCGCAGAUGGUAGAUUUAAAAAUGAGUUCAUGUGCUUUUUCACACAGUGUCCUGUUCCCCAACGUGUGUCAGUGCUCAAGCCUUAAACAAGGUGAUUUACGAACGUCAGGCCAUUAACCACUGUGGAGGGACAGCGGCAACGAGUGGAGGCAAACUGUUGCGUGUUUGUGCGUUGCUGCUCGAUAACACGCGACUGGGUACGGUUUCAUUUGCAGCCGAGAGGCGUCUAAUAGCACGUAUCCGAAACGCUUUCCGGGCCUUUUCUUAAUCUCGCUUGAUAAACGAGCCGCGCUCUGAGGGAAAGAGCACUUUCUGAAGCCCCCAUAAGCCCUCUAAACAGAUUACAAAGACUUAUGGGUAAAUAGAGGCAGCGGAGGUGAAAAAAAAAGAAAAAAAAAAGAAAGUGAACGUCCUUUUUAACGGAGCUUCCUGGAAGCCGAGCGCGCUAAUGUGACGCAACUGCUUCUCUUCCCGUCACUCGCUGAUGAGAAAUAAAUGAAUGAGAUUAAGGUUGUAACGGGCCCGCGCGUGUGUGUGUGUGUGUGUGUGUGUGUGUGUGUGUGUGUGUGUGUGUGUGUCAGUGUGUGUGUGUGUGUGUGUGUGUGUGUGUGUUGGUAAGCAACAGGUGCUCAUGUUUUCUUGUCUGUAUCUGAUAAUGCGUUUGCAUGAGUCCUCAAAUGUGUAGCAUCUUAUUCUGCUGUAUUAUCAGCAGAGCAGAUAUAAUUUCCGGACAUCUGUGAGUGUGUGUGUGUGUGAGUGUGAGUGUGUGUGUGUCUGUGUGCGUCAGCGCAGCAGGUUGAGGGGCACAUCAAAGCAGCGAGGAGAGGAGCGGUGAUGAAAUGCAGCGGCGAGGAGCAGCUCCGAGGGACAGAAGGAAUGAUUGUUAUUGCAGGUCAUCUGACACCAUUAAAAGUAUUUAGAGAAAACCUUCCUGUGGAUCCCUUUGAUAUUUGAUGUCGCGAAACAGAUUCAAAAAAUGGAAACGGGGCCAGCAAAAAAAUCUAUUGUCACCUAAGGAAUCCUGCAGGAACGCGUGUCCAUGCUGUACAAAGCGUUGUUGGCUUUUCGUGACUUUUCUUUCUUUUGUUAAUAAUACAGAUGUCCUUAAUAAUCCCGAUGGUUAAAUAGAUUAGGUAUAAAAAAUGGUUGGUCAGUUGUACCAUGUGCGUGGAAGCCGCGGUACCCAGUGAACAUAGGUUGCUACGGCUACCACACCUGUAAUAACCACUUCUCUUGCUAUGAAUUACAUAUCCAGGUCUUCUUUAGCUCAAAGCAGGUGGCUCCUCUCGCAUGUCUUUAUGUAGUGUCGCCACCGGACAUUAUGUGGGUCAUUUGGGGUAAAAAUCAAAUAAGACCACUAAGAUGCCACAUGGAUGCCAAUGCAGGACGUUCUGUCGGAGAACGCAGGAAAUGAAACCGUGAUAUCUCCUACAAAACACUUUGUUCUACACGUCUCCUUCAAAAAAACAAACAUUUGCUCUCGCCAGAGCCUUUAAGAGCAUGAAGUCACGCCCUCAGCCAUGCCUUUAGCCCUUCCCUUUCGGGGUCUGUUUGUCGCCUGAGUGACGGGAGGCGGGGCCGUGUCGCUGUCAGUCACAUGUGAAUGACAUCACAGCGGCGGAAUCGUCGAUGUAGUCCACGGCUUAACGCAGGCAGUGUGUGUGAGAGACGUGCCGAGGGUUUCCCUGGCUUUUGUCAGUGUGUGUGUCUGUGUGUCUGUGUGUGUGUGUGUGUGUGUGUGGGCGUGUGCACAUUUAACUACGCGUCUGUGCUCCGGUGCACGCGUGCAUUCGUUGUCAUUUGCAUGCGGGUCACAAUGACCCUUUCCUCUCAUCUGAGAUUUUCGAUUAUUCAAAGACACACACACACACACACACACACACGGACACACACACGGACACACACACGGACACACGACCUCUACAAAGGCCAUCACAUUCUAAUCACUGCUGCCCAGCCGGUCAAUCUCGCUUCCUCCUCGUCUUUCUGUUUCCCUUCACCUUUACCACUUCCUCUCCCUACAUAUGUCCCCCCCUCGUCCCUCUUGUCUAAUUGGGGUAAACCUUGGGAGCAGGUAAUCAGGGACGCCCGUUUGUGACAUUGUCUCCCCAUCACCGGGAGGCCCUCUCGUGCCCCGGCGUGUGAUGAGACCCUCCUGACCUCGUGGUGCCCUCAUUACGAUGACCCCUUGUGGAAUGACACGACCACGUCCGCUCAUUAACACCUUGUUGGAGCUCGGGUUAUAACGACAUGGAGCCCCGCUGCUGGCUUCUGACUGACAGGGUGCUGAUUGGUCAGCGUGGCCGGCUGGUAGCUAGUGGAGGUUUGGUCCCUCUAAUGUCCCAUCUGUCUCUGAGUGCCCUUGAGCAUUGCACCUGAACCUCGGCCUGCACCAACGACCGUAUCUCUCCAGACGAUAACUUCAUCCUCACAGGAAAGGAGGCGUGUGGAUUUAACACUAAUGACUAAACUUCCUGUGGGAGGCUCAAUACUUACUCCAUGUUGAGGUUGGUGGUUUGAUUCGAUUUGUGCCAAAAACAUGUGACUUUAAUGUGCAGUAUCCUUUAGUUCUCAAGUCACAACGUGAAGUUGUGUUAUUACUGGAGGUCCUGGAGCCCACGAGCUCUAUGCGCCUUUGCACAAAUAAACGUAUGCAAAUGCAAAAUGUGCAAUGGAGUGUUUAGCAUCAAAACCGUUCAUUAAUGCAGGGAUGGAAAUCUGCUACACUUCAAAUGUGUGAACAAAUUGAAAAGCCAACUGCGGGGAUCCUAUUAACCCAGAGCAGCGUCUGGCAGUCUGUCUGAGCUAAAUUGUUCUAUUGAAUGAGCUAAUAAGCUACGUUUAGCCUAAAAAGAACCUACAAACCCAGCAAAACCAUUCCUCCGACACAAACACGUACCGAGCCUCACAGUCUUGCUUUGGGAAACUUAUCCGAUAUUUCUCCUUAUCGCUGUACGUAUCACACUACGAUGUCAGCAAACCAAAGCCUGACCUUUGAAAAAAGUCAUCUUACUAAAGGUGUGAAUCAAAAUGUGCACUGUGCUGUAUUGGAUUGUCAAGAUGUUCCAGUCAACAACACUGUAAGUUGUGUGAUACAAUGACAGUGUUCCUCGUGCUUACUGUCUCAUGUCCGUUAUAAUAACAUGAUAUCUUUCCCGGAGGGCAGUAGGCACCUUUUUGCUCUCAUUCCUAUUAUAAUUUCCUCUUUUUCCUGUGAUUGUUCAACUGAUGAGUCGACCACAGAGACCAGCUGACGCUGGGCAGCUUUGUCCUCAUGUUUUUCCUCCUCGUGGAAUCCCAUUCUGUAGGAAAUGCUUCAAACGGUGGCAAAAUCACGCAUAUAGCGAAGCAGGCCCAUCGGAUUCAUAAGCCUAUAAUGAGCUUCCCUGCCUUUGAAAUGUUGGCAGAAUUAUAGAGGAUUAACCACAAAGUAACCCUGUUCAGGUCUAUUGUUAUUACAUCUGUCUCCUUUCCUCCUUUGUCCUUCUUUCAUUUCCUCCGUCCUUCUGUGAUGAUUUCUGAGACCGGUCGUGUUCGCCUCUCUCUGGUCCUCUUCCCUUCAUUUUGUUCCUUGAUUCUGUGCCCACAAUGUCUUUGAUAAGGGCUGUCAGAUUAAUUAACGUGAUUAAGUGUCCGCGCUCAUAACAGACCUUCAAAAUUCAACUCGGGGACGUUAGAGAGACAGGGUCGCUGGUUGGACGGCUGAUGACUGACUGAGCGACGCGAGCCUUUCAGUGGACUUCCUGCGCCCGUCCUGCCCGGUAACUUUUGGCUAACUAACUCAUUUUGGGAGACAGAGGUGAUGUUCUGCAUAUUGAGCCCUGCAGGACGUAAUAUUAGAUCCGGCGUCACUGCAGAGACAGCAUGUGAUGAAGGAUCACGCCUGGUCUCUCACAGCUUUCUCUAGUCGGCCCUGGGUCUCCUGCCUCGUUAACCCCGGGCGACCGUUUGGCUCUGCCUUGGGGCUAAAUUAGACAACCUAUUGGGGUAUAUUUAAGGGUGCGUGUGACUGGCAUCAAGCUGAGGAAAGAGUAACGUUGGAUUUAACAAUAAGCCCCAAAGCUAUGUGGUGCAUUGUGAAAAGGGGAUGGGAUUUUGCUCUGGGCCUUCACUCCCCGGACACCUCUGAAUAACCAGCGGCGAGGAAGGUUAAAAUGCAGCUCUUCAGCGCUCGCUCAUUCAUUGUCUAUACAUGACUUGUGGGUGUGCGGGCUGCAGGCUGAGGGUGUCUGAGUGUGCGACAGGGCAGUCGGCUGAUUCAUCCAUAGCUUGAAUUCAAAUCCUUAGUCAAGCGUGGGGGGCAACGGCCCGGUUGGCUGGGUUGACCCCGGUAGAAAGUGAGAGCUGUGCGUCCAGAGUGCAGGCGAGUGAAUGCAUGGGCUGCCUUUGAUUAGUUUGAGUAAUGAUGCUGUUUUUUCAACCAAAUAUUUUUUACAUUUAUUAUUCGAUGACAUUUUCCAACCUUUCUUGCCUUUUUGUCCAUAACACUUUUGGACCAAAGUAUUCUCUUGACAUUUUUCGACUUACUAUUUCUUUUACUUUUACUUACUUUUUCUUUUUUUCCGAUGACAUUUUUGGACUCUUUUUUUUUCAACUUAUUUCUUUUUUUAUAUAUGAUAUUUUGACUGGAUAUUUUUGACUUCUUUCUUUUCUUUUUUACUUGCUUUUAUCUCGUAUUUUUUACCCUUUCUUUGACAACAUCCUUCAACCAAAUAUUUUCCUUUUUUUUUUUUACCAAUUUCCAAGACACUUUUUGACCC
ensembl:lncRNA